rnacentral:rRNA from 1 species
CCGCUAUCGGGGUGGCGCUAAGCCAUGGGAGUCGCACAUCCCACCGCUGUGGGGUGUGGCGAACGGCUGAGUAACGCGUGGCUAACCUACCCUCGGGACGGGAACAACUCCGGGAAACUGGAGCUGAUUCCCGAUAGGUGGGGAGUCCUGGAACGGUUCUCCACCGAAAGGGACUAGAAGGGGCUAUCGCUUCUAGUCCGCCCGAGGAUGGGGCUGCGUCCCAUCAGGUAGUUGGCGGGGUAAUGGCCCGCCAAGCCUAUAACGGGUAGGGGCCGUGAGAGCGGGAGCCCCCAGAUGGGCACUGAGACAAGGGCCCAGGCCCUACGGGGCGCACCAGGCGGGAAACCUCCGCAAUGCGGUAACCCGUGACGGGGUCACCCCGAGUGCUCCCCUUAUGGGGAGCUUUUCCCUGCUGCAGGAAGGCAGGGGUAAUAAGUGGGGGGCAAGGCUGGUGUCAGCCGCCGCGGUAAUACCAGC